rnacentral:lncRNA from 1 species
GGGGGGGUAGACAAUUGUUCAAGGUGUAGUAGAAGGCACACACAAGGUAACAAUAUCAUGUUUCUUUGGGUAGUAUGGCCGACAAAUAUAGAUAAGAGGAACCAUAAAGCAGAGGUCGCUGGGUGGUAGGAAAGCGUACAGGACACUCAGCAUACGUACAUAUAUACAGUACAAUUUCUCCACUUUGUUUUGGCUAAAACCAGCACUGAAACAUAGGCUACGACUCUUACUAGUCUACGACUCUUACUAAAAGAGACAUUUCACGAGAAAUUUCAUAUUCGGCAGGUACAAAGGAUGGCUACAAUGUUCCAUCAGUGACGGAGUGCCCUGAAAUCAUCGAGUGGUUAUCAUCGGAGAAACACAACCGUGAACGAAUUAUCAACACCGACGACAAAGAGAUGCCUGAUAGAGUACGCAGGAUUUUAGGAGAUGCUUAUGUGUGUUUGUAUGAGAGCAAAGAAAUGGCCAUGUACAAAUGAUUUCAUUAGAAUGAUUUAAUAUAUUAUGUCGGGUAUAAAUAGUAUGCACAUAAAACUGUUAUAUAAAAAUGUUGUGCUCUAUUAAUGGACUUAGAAAACUGGUUAAUCUACUUGUAGUAAAGCUUUUAAUGCACUAAGUUUGUAUACAGUAUAUUGGAUAAAACUGAAGUGGCUGUAAAAGGCCACGUUUAAUUAAUUAAAUUUACCAAUAACCUAUUGCUAUAAAAAUUAUGUAUACAAGUGUGCCGUACGGUGUAUGCCAAUAUACGACCUAUUUCAAUAGGUUUUCAAAACUGGUAUUUAACAAAACAACAUUCGUUGAACUUCAGCAUGCUUCCGUUUACAAUACACAGUACCAUAUGAUUCCAUCUAGGAAAGGUAUUAUUAUUAAACUGUUGCCAUGAGAAGUUUUACAAUAUUUAAUCAUUGUUUUACGAUCAUAUUUAAAAGUUACUUCGCUGUCAUGGCGCGUUAUCAGUUAGUCAUUAUUCUGUGCUUUUAAAAAGACCAUACUUGGCCUGGGAAAACGUCAAUUGCUCAAUAGCAUUGUUCUUAAAAAAAAACUGGCGCAAAUCACGAGGUCCUAUGAACUAUAUUCAGCGCUUGCAAAAUAUGACGUAAUCGUUUGACUUCGGCAUUUUGGAGUGGCAAAUUUUUAAAGCUAAAUAAAACAUACACAGCGUCAAGCAGCCGUCUCGCAUGUUUAUUCGGUAGAGAUCCAUCCCCUUCAUUUAACAUGCUUAAUACGAAUCCUUCCUUUGUUGUCCAUAGUUGCUACCCAAAAUUAGCGUGACGUAAUACUCCCGCGUGACGUACUACUCUCGCGUGACGUAAUACUCCCGCGUGACUGCAAGAUCUGAAUACCUCGUUUAAUUAAAUUAUAAAUAGCUUAUCUGGUUAUCCUUUUGUUAAUCUUGCCAGGUUGCAUAAUGUUCUGUACAUCAUUCGUUUUUGUCUAGUCAUCGUCAUCUGAAUCAUCCAGCCUUCUUCUGUUAAACUAAAGCGAAGAGAAAAUACCAUUACUAUACUGGCCACACUUUGACAAAGUGGUAGGGAUGAGACCCCAGAAUUGUGG